AAGGAAUAUUGGUCAAUGGGCGGAAGCCUGAACCAGCCAUGCCGCGUGCAGGAUGACUGCCCUAUGGGUUGUAAACUGCUUUUGUCCAGGAAUAAACCUAAAUACGUGUAUUUAGCUGAAUGUACUGGAAGAAUAAGGAUCGGCUAACUCCGUGCCAGCAGCCGCGGUAAUACGGAGGAUCCGAGCGUUAUCCGGAUUUAUUGGGUUUAAAGGGUGCGUAGGCGGCCUAUUAAGUCAGGGGUGAAAUACGGUGGCUCAACCAUCGCAGUGCCUUUGAUACUGAUGGGCUUGAAUCCAUUUGAAGUGGGCGGAAUAAGACAAGUAGCGGUGAAAUGCAUAGAUAUGUCUUAGAACUCCGAUUGCGAAGGCAGCUCACUAAGCUGGUAUUGACGCUGAUGCACGAAAGCGUGGGGAUCGAACA
rnacentral:rRNA from 1 species